GAAAUCUGUGAGCCAAUGCUCACUAGUAAUCCCCCCGCUCUGAUGUAAAUAAGCACUAUCAUGUUAACAUACACAAGUUCAAUUACAGGCAGAUGCACAGAAAAAUAUGAAAUUCAUAUCAAUAUUAAUUCCACCAUAUGGCAUGCCUCAACCAAUAGUGUACUAAAAUUAAGCAUCUGCUAUGAAUAGUUAAUGAGAAAACUGCGACGAAAAUUUGUUAUGUAUGACUCGGACAGACAAAACGGAAGCUGACAUCGGAUUUGA